GGAGAUGAAGGCAAAGCUGAAGGUCUCUCUCUCUACUGGAUUCAAAUCUUCUUUAUAAAGACUUUGUAUAUGAAAAUUUAAAGCCUCUUCUCCUUCCCAGGAAGGCCACCAUCAGCUCCAGUGGGAGCAUCCGUUCCACUCUCCAGCGCUUGCUCUCCUCUGUUCUCAUGUCUCCAUCUGAGAACAGAGCUACCAGCCCCUCUUUAUGCUCUCACACCAAAGGUUUGAGCAGGGCUUGGCAUCCCUAUCAAACCACCAUUGCACUUAGAGCAUUCCAUGUGCCUCGUUUCCCUCUCCCGCCUUGAAAUGUGGCUGCAGCUGCAACCCGGAUUUCUGCUAUGGACUUCCUAGCAAUUCUCUGCCAGCCUGUCUUUGGGAGAAGACUUUGUAUGACCUUCCAUUCCAGUGAAGAAAAAGCAAGUGCCUCUCGGUCCCUCUCCCAUCCACCCAACCCCCGAUGUACUUUUUAGCUAAGGGAAAAAUCUGUUAUUCAUAAAGAAAAACAAAGGAUGAUAAAUUAUAGGACCUUGUAAAAUAUAUUAACAUGCAUCCACACUUUCUUCUGGAUAAUUGAAUUUAGAGCGACAGCGGCCAGGCUCUGCAGCUUACGCAGGAAGGCCAGCUUUGCUCGGUUGUUUUUCAUUCUUCUGGGG
ensembl:lncRNA